rnacentral:rRNA from 1 species
UACGUAGGUGGCAAGCGUUGUCCGGAAUUAUUGGGCGUAAAGCGCGUGUAGGCGGCUUUGCAAGUCGGGUGUGAAAGCCCUCAGCUCAACUGAGGAAGUGCGCCCGAAACUGCAGAGCUUGAGUGCCGGAGAGGGUGGCGGAAUUCCCCAAGUAGAGGUGAAAUUCGUAGAUAUGGGGAGGAACACCGGUGGCGAAGGCGGCCACCUGGACGGUAACUGACGCUGAGACGCGAAAGCGUGGGUAGCAAACAGG